rnacentral:rRNA from 1 species
AGAUUGAACGCUGGCGGCGUGCCUAACACAUGCAAGUCGAGCGGUAACAGGUGUAGCAAUACAUGCUGACGAGCGGCGAACGGGUGAGUAAUGCUUCGGAAUCUACCUUAUGGUGGGGAAUAACUAGCCGAAAGGUUAGCUAAUACCGCAUACGUCCUACGGGAGAAAGCGAGGGGAUCGCAAGACCUUGCGCCAAAAGAUGAGCCGAAGUCGGAUAGCUAGUUGGCAGGGUAACGGCCUACCAAGGCGACGAUCCGUAGCUGGUCUGAGAGGACGACCAGCCACACUGGAACUGAAGACACGGUACCACGACCUCCGUACGGACGGCGAGCAGGUGGGAAGUAGUUAGGACAAGUGGGGAACCUAGACUCCGAGCGACCGCCGCGUGUGUAGGAAGACGGGC